UGAGGAAGGAGAAGUCGUAACAAGGUUUCCGUAGGUGAACCUGCGGAAGGAUCAUUGUCGUAUCCCGGCCCCUCGGCACACUCGCGAACUGUCCCAUCCCGUCCUUCUCGGCUCGGCAGGUAGGACGCCCCGCCCGCCCCCGCAGCCGCGGCCGCGCGCGGGACGCCCACCGGCCGACCGACCGACCGACGACGAACCUUUUUUCGGCGCGGUCUGCGCCAAGGAACACCGACCGAAGAGAACGCCCGCGCCGUCCUCGCUCCGUGCCUGGCCGCGCGGGCGCUCCUAUUACGUACAGCCACGGCAAAUCUUAACGACUCCCGGCAACGGAUAUCUAGGCUCUCGCAUCGAUGAAGAACGUAGCGAAAUGCGAUACGUGGUGUGAAUUGCAGAAUCCCGUGAACCAUCGAAUCUUUGAACGCAAGUUGCGCCCGAGGCCGUCAGGCCGAGGGCACGCCUGCCUGGGCGUCACGCCCCGCGUCGCUCCCACUCCCCCCGCCGCCCGCACCGCGCGGCGGCGGCGGCGGCCGUGGGACGCGGAGAUUGGCCUGCCGUGCUGCGGCGCGGCGGGCCGAAGUGCUCGAACCCUUCCCCGUGCGUGGGACGAGAACACGGCGAGUGGUGGAUUGGAUCGGACCGACCGACUCAUCGUCGCCGUGCCCUUCUCGCGCCCGGCGGGCGGGAUUCACGAAACCCAGCCGCGAGCGGCCGUGUUCGGAGGCGCCGCGCGCCGCCGACGCCCGCUCCGACCGCGACCCCAGGUCAGGCGGGGCCACCCGCUGAGUUUAAGCAUAUCAAUAAGCGGAGGAA
rnacentral:rRNA from 1 species